AUGGCCUCAACCGGAGUUUCGCGUAGGUCGUCCAUCAUGGCGUCCCGGCUGAGCGCGUCUGCAGAGGCCAUGCGCGCGAGCGAGGGGGGGAAGCAGCGACACGCCGUGCUGGCGCGGCGGGUGGAGUACGACGAGGAGUCUCUGGCCGGUGAACCCCAAUACGACGUGUUCAUCAACCACCGCGGCGUGGACACGAAGCGGACGGUGGCGCGCCUGCUCUACGACCGCCUCGCGCAGAGCGGCAUCCGCGGCUUCCUGGACAACAUGUCGAUGCGGCCGGGCGACCGGCUCAGGGAGACGAUCAGCGCCGGAAUCAGCGAAUGCAGCGUCGCCGUUGCCAUCUUCUCCCCGAGCUACUUCGACUCGGAGUACUGCCUGUGGGAGCUCGCCACGCUCGUAGAGUCACGCAAGACCAUCAUCCCCAUCUUCUACAACAUCAAGCCCUCCGACCUCGUGCUCCCCGAGGCCCUCGCCGCCUCCGACGACUACCUCCCGCAAGACGUCGAGCGCUACAAGUACGCGCUCCGCGAGGCCAAGAACACCGUCGGCCUCACCUACGACUCGGCCACAGGGGACAUAGCCGAGCUGGUGUCAGCGGCAGCCGACGCGGUGCUGUACCACAUGGAAAAAAUGGUGAGAGUGCAGAGGAGGGAAACGAUCGUUUCAAGGCUCUAA
rnacentral:rRNA from 1 species